CCCAGCCAUCGCCCUGGCUGUUCACGCUGCUUCUCCCAGGAAAGCUCUACAACCUCCUCCUAAAUUCACAAGCCCUCUCCCCACCCCUGCCCAGGUGAGCAGCUUGCCUCACAGCUGGCCACCAGGAUGUUACAAAAGGAUGCAGGAUCUUGUCCAAAGCCCUUCCCUGCACACCCCUAAUUCCAUCUUGAUGCAAGAGAGGAGGAAGACAGGAAAGAAUAAGAUGAUGGACAGCGAGACUUUGAGAUGUCUGCUGAAUUACCAAUGGGCUCUGCCAGAGAACCAGUAGACUGAUUUUUUUAAGCAGCACAUGUUUAUGCACUAAGCCCUAUGGAUAUGGGGCCUUGUCCUGAUGGAGCGUACAUCUAACAGGAGAAUAAAUUACUAGGCACACAGUGAGAGAGAGAGGCAGAGACACAGGCAGAGGGAGAAGCAGGCUCC